rnacentral:rRNA from 1 species
GUUUCAGCAGCCGCGGUAAGACGUAGGGCGCGAGCGUUGUCCGGAUUUAUUGGGCGUAAAGAGCUCGUAGGCGGCUUGUCGCGUCGUUCGUGAAAACUCACAGCUCAACUGUGAGCUUGCGGUCGAUACGGGCAGGCUAGAGUUCGGUAGGGGAGACUGGAAUUCCUGGUGUAGCGGUGAAAUGCGCAGAUAUCAGGAGGAACACCGGUGGCGAAGGCGGGUCUCUGGGCCGAUACUGACGCUGAGGAGCGAAAGCGUGGGGAGCGAACAGGAUUAGAAACCCCGGUAGUCC